rnacentral:pre_miRNA from 1 species
ACAACUACAUUCGGACCGUCGGUCUACCGAGCAAUAUCACCCGCUCGGUGGAAGAUCUUCCCUUUGUCGUUCAGC